rnacentral:misc_RNA from 1 species
UCUCCGUUGGUGAACCAGCGGAGGGAUCAUUACUGGAAUCGCAAGAUCCCACAACCCCUGUGAACCUACCGAAACGUUGCCUCGGCGGGCGCCCGGCCCCGCGCCGGGCGCCGAGCCCGCCGGCGGCCCCCUACUCUUGUCUCCGCAGCGUGGGAUCUCAGAGUCCCAGAAAACAAGUAAAAACUUUCAACAACGGAUCUCUUGGCUCUA